rnacentral:rRNA from 1 species
AGGACAACGCUGGCGGCGUAGCCUAACACAUGCAAGUCGAACGGAGAUGAUGGGAUAGCUUGCUAUUUAAUCAUCUUAGUGGCGGACGGGUGAGUAACACGUGGGCAACCUGCCCCAAAGAGGGGGAUAACACCGAGAAAUCGGUGCUAAUACCGCAUAACAUUAGAGUUUCGCAUGGAGCUUUAAUCAAAGGAGAAAUCCGCUUUGGGAUGGGCCCGCGUCUGAUUAGCUAGUUGGUGAGGUAACGGCUCACCAAGGCGACGAUCAGUAGCCGAUCUGAGAGGAUGACCGGCCACACUGGAACUGAGACACGGUCCAGACUCCUACGGGAGGCAGCAGUGGGGAAUAUUGCACAAUGGGGGAAACCCUGAUGCAGCAACGCCGCGUGGAGGAAGAAGGUCUUCGGAUUGUAAACUCCUGUCUUCUGGGACGAAUAAUGACGGUACCAGAGGAGGAAGCCACGGCUAACUACGUG